CCUACGGGGGCAGCAGUGGGGAAUAUUGGACAAUGGGCGAAAGCCUGAUCCAGCCAUGCCGCGUGUGUGAAGAAGGCCUUCGGGUUGUAAAGCACUUUCAGUGGGGAAGAAAGCCUUGGGGCUAAUACCCUCGAGGAAGGACAUCACCCACAGAAGAAGCACCGGCUAACUCCGUGCCAGCAGCCGCGGUAAUACGGAGGGUGCGAGCGUUAAUCGGAAUUACUGGGCGUAAAGCGCGCGUAGGCGGUCUGAUAAGCCGGUUGUGAAAGCCCCGGGCUCAACCUGGGAACGGCAUCCGGAACUGUCAGGCUAGAGUGCAGGAGAGGAAGGUAGAAUUCCCGGUGUAGCGGUGAAAUGCGUAGAGAUCGGGAGGAAUACCAGAGGCGAAGGCGGCCUUCUGGACUGACACUGACGCUGAGGUGCGAAAGCGUGGGUAGCAAACAGGAUUAGAUACCCCAGUAGUC
rnacentral:rRNA from 1 species